GGCCCGUAAGUCUCGUUUACUUUCACUUUCGAUUUACCACUUCCGGGUACAUCGGCAGACUUAUUUACCGUUACGCAUAUAGGUAACCCGAAGAACUCGAGAGAUAUAGAAGUUAAAUUUGUUUCGGUCCUCUUCAGAUUUGAAGGAAUGGAAAGCACGGGUCAAAAAAUGCAGAUGUGUAGACAGGGAGGUAAUAUGACAAGUAUAGAAUAUACAGUUGUUCACUAUGGACCAUUAAUCAACUGUUUGCACUGCCUAUGAUCCUGAAAUAUCUAUACAUCAAAGAUAAAAAGGAAAAAGAUGAAGGAGAAUUUGUCAAUGAAGACCUUUAUUGAAACUACCAUCUUCCAGUUCCUUAAUUUGAGAAUGAUAUCAGAGAACACACAGUUACAGUGAAAUAUUAGUUUAAUAUAAGCCAUUGAGAUAAGUCAAAUGUACUUUCCUGAAGAAGAUGAAUGACAUCCAGCAGAAAAAUCUUAAUGUAAAAGAGUAUGAUUUUAUGUUGUUUGACACUAUGAUUCCAUAAUCUUGUUAACUUGUUAAUGUCACAAUGAUAGAAACAGAGUAAAAUAUCCACAUUUCAUUGCAGUUUUAAGUAUUAAAACUACAUGUAGAUAGUUACUCUAUAUAAUUAUACCAAAGUAGAAAACACACCAGAGAUUAGGAAUUUUCAUGGAAUCACAGUAAAGUCAUAUGUCAUUAUGGACAUUAAAUGACUAUGAAGUAAAGAUGAAAAAGAAAUAGCAAAAAAAUUACAUAUCAUCUACUACUUAUAUUGUGAGGUAAUCAUUGACAAGCUCACAAAUUUGCAUUCAAAGCUUUGAUAUCAAGCUGACCAUUUUUCAAUUAGAAUAUGAUUUAUAACUCUAUGAUAAUUUGUUCAUGUUAAUUUUCAAAGUCUUUACAUUUGUAAAAGGAAAUAUUCUUAUUCUUGUAUCAGUAGACAUUCACAGUGUAAAGUUACACUGUCUAAAUAACUAAUAAUAAUUUCCAGUGCUUUCCUGAAGUUUUUCUUCCACUGGAAUAUCAGUGUGAUAUAUAUGCUAAGCAGUGCACUAUAAAUUGUGUAAAAAUAAAAAAUUAUCAAACUUA